rnacentral:tRNA from 1 species
GUUUCUGUAGUGUAGUGGUAUCACGUUCGCUUUACACGCCGAAAGGUCCCCUGGUUCGAAAACCGGCAGACAGAAGCA